rnacentral:rRNA from 1 species
GACGAACCGUGCAAACGUUGUUCGGAAUCACUGGGCUUAAAGGGCGCGUAGGCGGGUUCCCAAGUCGGUGGUGAAAUCUUUCAGCUCAACUGGAAAAGUGCCGCCGAUACUGGGAGUCUUGAGGGAGGUAGGGGUCGAUGGAACUGGUGGUGGAGCGGUGAAAUGCGUAGAUAUCACUAGGAACGCCGGUGGCGAAAGCGAUCGACUGGACCUCUUCUGACGCUGAGGCGCGAAAGCCAGGGGAGCAAACGGGG